rnacentral:rRNA from 1 species
GCAACCUGAGCUCAGUCGUGAUUACCCGCUGAACUUAAGCAUAUCACUUAGGCGGAGGAAGAAACUAA